rnacentral:sRNA from 1 species
AGGCUGAAGGAAGGCAAGGGCUGAAACAGGGAGACAGGAUGCUACUGCAGUACUCCAGGUGAAGGCUGCUGGUUGCUUGGACUGAGUCAGAACAGUGAAACUGAUGGGAAGUUGUCGGAGAGAGGAUGAGAAAACCAGCCAAGAAAAAUGAGAAGGAUCAUCCAGUAAAGCUUAAAAAGAGCCAAGAGUCUGAAGUUCCAGAAGCCAAGGGAAGAAAGCAUUUCCAGGAGUAAACAAAUGUCAAGUGCAGCUCCAUCACAGGUAAAUAUUUCCAACUACAGUCUGGUGAUGGAGUCUGACACGGGAACCUUCUUACCCACUGGGCUGCAAUUCACUGGCAGUGAGAAGGCCAGGGCCGUCAUGGAGGAGGUUAUGAGCCUGCUGCAGCCCCUCAAUGUCACUCAGGUCCUGAGCCAUGGAGAAGGGACAGACAUCAACUUUUGGAUCAAAGCUGGAGUGCCUGGUACUUCUGCAUAUCUACCCAGUAGAGAAGGAUCCUAUCACAAGAGGUGUGGGAAAACUAUACCACAAGGCUGCAGUAACCAAAAUGGAAUGUUACUGGUACAAAAACAGACACAUAGGCCAAUGGAACAGGUUAGAGAAGCCAGCAAUAAAGCCACACACAUACAACCAUCUGAUCUUUGGCAAAGCCAACAGUAAAAAACAAUGGGGAAAGGACUCCCAAUUCAAUAAAUGCUGCUGGGAUAACUGACUAGCCAUAUGCAGAAGAUUGAAACUGGACUCCUUCCUCCCACCAUACAUAAAAAUCAACCCAAGAUUGAUUAAAGACUUAAGUGUAAAACCUAAAAUUA